rnacentral:rRNA from 1 species
GGAAUAUUGGACAAUGGGCGAAAGCCUGAUCCAGCGACGCCGCGUGUGUGAAGAAGGCCUGCGGGUUGUAAAGCACUUUCGAUGGGAACGAAAUGUGCCGGGCUAAUACCCCGGCAAGCUGACGUUACUCAAUGAAGAAGCACCGGCUAACUCUGUGCCAGCAGCCGCGGUAAUACAGAGGGUGCGAGCGUUAAUCGGAAUUACUGGGCGUAAAGCGCACGUAGGUGGCGGUGUAAGUCGGGUGUGAAAUCCCCGGGCUCAACCUGGGAACUGCAUUCGAGACUGCAUUGCUCGAGUAUGGGAGAGGGAGGCGGAAUUUCCGGUGUAGCGGUGAAAUGCGUAGAUAUCGGAAGGAACAUCAGUGGCGAAAGCGGCCUCCUGGACCAAUACUGACGCUCAUGUGCGAAAGCGUGGGGAGCAAAC